rnacentral:rRNA from 1 species
AACGAACGCUGGCGGCAGGCUUAACACAUGCAAGUCGAACGGUGUAGCGAUACACAGUGGCAGACGGGUGAGGAACACGUGGGAACAUCCCUUUCGGUUCGGAAUAACGUUGGGAAACUAACGCUAAUACCGGAUACGUCCUUCGGGAGAAAGAUUUAUUGCCGAGAGAUUGGCCCGCGUCUGAUUAGCUAGUUGGUGAGGUAACGGCUCACCAAGGCUACGAUCAGUAGCUGAUCUGAGAGGAUGAUCAGCCACAUUGGGACUGAGACACGGCCCAAACUCCUACGGGAGGCAGCAGUGGGGAAUAUUGGACAAUGGGCGCAAGCCUGAUCCAGCCAUGCCGCGUGAGUGAUGAAGGCCUUCGGGUUGUAAAGCUCUUUUAUCCGGGAAGAUAAUGACUGUACCGGAAGAAUAAGCCCCGGCAAACUUCGUGCCAGCAGCCGCCGUAA